rfam:Oryza sativa Japonica Group DNA, chromosome 11, cultivar: Nipponbare, complete sequence.
AAUAAGCGCAGCCAAUGAGUUUACGUGUCUAACUUUGAUCGUUCGUCUUAUUUGAAAUUUUUUAUGAUUAGUAUUUUUAUUGUUAUUAGAUUAUAAAGUAUAAAUAGUAUUUUAUGUGUGACUUAUAUUUUUUAGUUUUUUCAAAAAAAAUUAAAUAAAACGGACGAUCAAAGUUGGACACGGAAACUCAUCACUGCGUUUAUU